UGGGGAAUUUUGCACAAUGGGGGAAACCCUGAUGCAGCGACGCCGCGUGAUUUAGAAGGCCUUCGGGUUGUAAAAAUCUUUUGUAUGGGAAGAAAAUGACAGUACCAUACGAAUAAGGACCGGCUAAUUACGUGCCAGCAGCCGCGGUAAUACGUAAGGUCCGAGCGUUGUCCGGAAUCAUUGGGCGUAAAGGGUACGUAGGCGGAUAAGCAAGUUAGAAGUGAAAUCCUAUAGCUCAACUAUAGUAAGCUUUUAAAACUGCUCAUCUUGAGGUAUGGAAGGGAAAGUGGAAUUCCUAGUGUAGCGGUGAAAUGCGCAGAUAUUAGGAGGAAUACCGGUGGCGAAGGCGACUUUCUGGCCAUAUACUGACGCUGAGGUACGAAAGCGUGGGUAGUAAACAGG
rnacentral:rRNA from 1 species